CAGUUUAUAACUACACACACAAAAAUCCAAGUACUUUUGUCUUACAGAGAACUGAAAUUGUUCUCUGUCCUAAGAAUCAGUGGCUCAGUAUCUGGAUGGAGAUCAGUAGUAAGUGGUGUCCCUCAGGGAUCAGUACUGGGAUGAGUGCUGUUUAAUAUCUUCAUCCAUUACAUGAACAGUAGGAUCAAAUGCACCCUCAGCAAGAUUGUGGAAGAUGCCAAGCUGUGUGGUACAGUCAGCACAUCUGAGGGAUAGAAUGCCAUCCAGAGGGACCUAGACAGCUGUGAGCAGUGGACCCAGGUCAACCUCAUGAGGUUCGAUGAAGCCAUGUGCAAGGUCUUGCACCUGGGUCAAGGCAACCUCCUCUAUCAGUACAAGAUGGCAGUGAAGGAAUGGAGGACAGCCCUGCAGAAAAGGACUUGGGGGUACUGAUGGAUGGGAAGCUGGACAUGAGCCAGCACUGGGCCCUCACAGCCCAGAAAGCCAACUGUAUCCUGAGGUGCAUCAAAAGAAGUGUGAUCAGCUGGUCAAGGGAGGUGAUCCUGCCCCUCUACUCUACACUGCUGAGAUCUUACCUGGAAUAGCAUGUCCAGGUGUGGACACGCUCCUCAGUACAAGAGAGAUGUGGACCUGUUGGAGGGUCCAGAGAAGGGCCACAGAAAUGAUCCAAAGAAUGGAACACCUCCCCGUGAGGACAAGCUGAGAGAGCUGGGGCUGUUCAGCCUGGAGAAGAGAUGCCUCUGGGGAGACCUGAGAACAGCCUUUCAGUAUCUAAAGGGGGGCUGUGAGAAGUAAGGGGACAGACCCUUUAGCAGUGCCUUAGCAGGGUCUGUUGUGAUAGGACAAGUGGAAAUUAUUUCAAACUAAAAGAGGGGAGACUUAGACUGGAUAUAAGAAAGAAGGUUUUUUACAAUUAGGCACUGAAACUUUUUUACAAUAAGGCACAAAGAGGUGGUGGCAGCCCUGUCUCUGGGGACAUGCAGGGUUUAGACUGGACAGAGCUCUGAGCAACCUGAUCUAGUCGGUGUCCCUGUUCACUACAGGGAGUUGGACUAGAUAACCUUUAAAGGCCCCUUAAACGAUUUUAGGAUUCUGAGAAAUUGUUACAUAACUUGCCUCGGUGUCUACCAUUUCUUCAGUCUCAGUCAGGACUGAAAACCUGUUAUAUGCCUCAGAACUGUCUGUGUAGCAGUGAUUCCCUUGUCUGUGUUAAACUGAAGUUUAAUAACUCUAUCUUAUUUCUGACAUCAUGCUAUGCACAUUAUGUUUUCUUUUGCAAACUGUCUCUGACAUUCCCAUAGUUAUCUGGUUGGGCAAGCAAAGAGGGAAGCAAAUCCAGCUGUUAAUCAAGAGCCAGGAACUUGUUUUUCACAAUAGCUAGCGUUUUACCUGUACUGCUGUUUGAGGCUUCCAGCUGUAAUGGAGAGGUUGCCUGCUGCUCACGAGGAAGGAGGGGGGAAAUCCCUGCGGUCUUUGAAUAUACUACCAUAGGAAACAGGAGCUUCAUUUUAAGCACAGUCUGUUUGGUUUUCUUAAUUAUCAGAAAGCUCAACAGGUUCAGAGUGCCAUUAUUAGCUAUUUGGCAUAGACACAAGAGAGAGAUUUAUAAAUUGGCAUUAGCAAUUCAUGUAAACAGUAGGAAUAUUGCUGUGACUUCGAGCUCCCUGGAGACAGAGACCCUUUCUUAACCUUUGUUUGUGAGAUUGUAAGCAGAAAUAACACAGUACCCAGACUCGCAUCCAAGCAUCCUUGAAUGUCAGGAAGUUAAAUUCUUCAAGUAGCCCCAAGUGCUAUAUUUAAUACCUUGUGAAUUGGGAAAUUGAUAACCAUUCUAUUUGUAUCCAUUCAUGUUCAAGUUUACAACUGAGGUGUGAUUUUAUCUGCCUGCUCAAAGACACAAAGGCAUAUAUUACUGUGAUCUAUUCCAGUGUGAUCUGGCUGAGACUCUAAGGCUGAAUUUGGCUCUGAGGACAUUGCCAUUUAGUCUUCUACCUAGAGGCAAAAAAAGGGCACUUGAAACAAUAAAUGUUGUUGCAGUAGAUGAAUGCUUCUUUGUGUAUUUGUCUGACAUCCACCCAAAGAUAGCAGCUGCCAGUAGAGAUAGGAAGAAGGGGUGGAUGGUAAUAACUGCUCUUUUGGGGGACAGUAAUGGAUCUUAAAGGACUGGCAUCUGAGGCAUGUGUCUGGCACCCAGCUACCACCAAGAACAGAGUAUAUCAAACCACUCUAAAUUUGUCUUUCAAAGGAUGUUUAUUAUUAAGUUGUGUAUACUUUAAAAUGUUGCAUAGCAGUGCUAUGCAAUAACUAGUUACAAUUCUUAUAAUAGUUUCUGUACGAAGUUCAAAAAGAAAUCCAAGUUUUGUAUUGAAGAACAUUCAAGAACUGACUACUCACGUAAUGCACUACAGCAAUUUUCAUUUUCUCAUAUAUUGCUCUUACUUGCAAAAGUAGACAGAGAUGCUAAACUGUAGGAACAGGGUUCUUUCUCUGAAGCACUGGUUCAAAUUCUUCCCACCAUCCUGGCUCUCAGAUUGGCCAGAGACCACCUCAUGGUGUUAGCUGGAGCCUGCAGGGAGACAGACAGGACAGUUGUCAAGGGUACUGUGUACCUAGUUUUCCUUCCAGUAUAGGCAUAAAAGGGGCAUUGCAAACAUACAGUACAUUUCUUAAAUAUCACUAAUCUACAUAGUCUUUACAGGUAGGUCAGACAUUGGCAGUUGAGAUUAUACAAGUUUUUUAUUCCUGUCUUUGAGCUUUCCAAGGCUCUGCUGAGAUGCAGAAGGAGGAAAAAUGGGCAGUGUUGCACAGUUGCUGAAUCUCAGCAGCAUGUCAGUUCUUUAAUUAAAACAUUAAAAAGUUUUGCAGUUUUUGUAAGGAUUUAACUAUUAAUUAAUUACUUAGGAAAAAUAAAGGAUAUAACAUUGAAAAUUACAGCAAACAUUCCAAGAAUCCAUUAGUCUAUCCCUUAAUUAGUUUAUGGUUUGGGGGGUUUGUUUUUGUUGGCUUUUUCUCUGUCAGUUUGUUUUAGGAAAUUUAUUAUUCAUUGAGAUUGUCUUUUUAGGUCUUACCAUUGCCCUCGUAUGGUAACAGGAUCUUUAAAUAGAAACACAUCUUUAAAGAUCAAAAGUAAUCUGAAAUCUAAACUACUAAAAAGCCACUUUCAGAGUUGUCAAAUUCCACUAAAUGCUUUUGAUAGGAAUGCUAUUUGCACUUAGCAUACAGAACCAAAAUCACACUGUAGCAGCAUGAAAGCACUAGAUAAUGGCUGCUUUUUGCUUUCAUGUUACUGAAGUAUUACUAUGAUCUGGUGUCCCCAUGGAACACCUCCCUUGUAAGGACAGACUGAAAAAGCUGGGACUGUUCAGCCUGGAGAAGAGAAGCCUCUGGGGAGACUUGAUAGCAGCCUUUCAGUGUCUGAAGGGGGGCUGUAAGAAAGAAAAGGACAGACUCUUUAGCAAGGUCUGUGGUGACAGGACAAGGGAAAAUGGUUUAAAACUAAAAGAGUGGAGAUUUAAAUUGGACAUAAGGAAGUUUUUUGCAAUAAGGGUGGUGAGGCUCUGGAACAGGUUACUCAAAGAUGUGGUGGAGGCCCCAUCUUUGGAGACAUUCAAGGACCUGUAAAGGUCCUUUCCAACUUAAAAGAUUUUAUGAUUCAUUACUACUUAGUAAGAAUAUUUUACUUCAUGUUAUUACAUCACUUCAGUAAUACUCCAUAUCUUUUUGUUUGUUUUGCUUUGGUUUAAUCUCUUCUUUGUAACAAACAGAUAAACAUUUAUAAUUUAAAUAGCAGUUUAAUUACAAUCACAUAUAAGGUUAAUUUUGAGUUUUCUGAGUUAAUGUUAUCCUACUUUAGCUGGAAUUAUGGAUUGAUAUUUCUCAGUUUCCAAUGCCCUUCAUUUUUUGGUAUUUCUUUGAGUUUUUUGUUUAUCUCUCAAAAUUCUCCCUGGAUGUUGGAUUCAGUCUCCUAAUUCCACUCAAGAAACAUUUGAUAUCUGAUUUUAGUUUAACCACUCUGUGCAGAUAUUUCUCCCAUUCUGCAUGAUCAGCUUCUACAGCAGGGCUCUCAUAUCAAUUCUGGUUUCCACUGCUUUCAUAUUUCAACUUCUUUGUUAGCACUUCAUUCUGUUUGUGUAUGCUUAAUCAGAAUAACCUUUUAAAUUGUACAGAUUUCAGCUUGUGCCAGUAUUCAGUCUUUCUGCAUUAUGUUCUCUUCUCAGGCAACAUCCAGGCUUGUCAUUUUCCAAUUGUCCAUUCAUUCCAUCAGGACAGUAGGCCUUCCCCAAUGAUCAAAUUGUAAUUUGAAGUCUGUAAAGGUGAAGUGUAAGCCUUUUUGGCUGCAGCUGAGAGGUAUGAAUAGCCUUUUUCCUUAUGUCAGUCUUCAGUUAGCAAUCCAGUAGAGGCCUUGUUGGAGAUGCUCUUCCAGUAUAUUGAAUCUUUUCCAGUUUCCUCACUAUAUGUUUGUGCUAAGUUCAGCUGCUUUCUUACUACACUAUUUCUUACCACUGCAUAUAUGCUUUGCUGCUGCAUCUUACCUUGUCAUAUCCCUUUUGCCAUGUUUCCCUAAGAAGAAUGUUUGAGUGUAAAUACUGAUAAAAAUAACAGUGUUACAGCUUCUGAGUCAUCUGCUCACUUUGGUAUUUUUGAUUUUGCUGUUUAUUAUCUAUGAUGGCUGACAUCGCUUCUCCCCUCAUAUAUGCAGCUAGCUCAUUCCAUGUUGUUCUGGUAUCUGCAGGCCCUAAAACUGUCUGCACUCCAGGCCAUCCCUAUAGCUAUUUAAAUACAUCUGUGUAUUUAAACAUUCAAGGCUUGUUAAUUUCUACUGUGCUGCCAUGCACAAAACGCUAAACAGAGCCUGACAACUUUUUCUGCUUCUAAUAUGUCUCUGCUUUCUUUUGGCUUAUGACCAUCAUAGUGGUAUAAUCAUUCAAAUUCUGGUCUUCCUUCUUAAAUCCAGACAGUGUUACGCAUCCACUCAUAAUAAUCAGUUUCUAGAUCUUUUGAAAGAAUCUAGAAAGAAUUUUGAAAGAAUUUGAAAGAGCCCAAAGAUUUAGUCCCUGCUUAAUACCAUUUCCUCACCUCAUCUAUUUCUUCCAAAAAAAAUAAAAAUGGAUAGAUUUCCUAGGAGCAGAGUGGGAAUGUCCAGCAGGGGACUGGGUUUGUUUUUGUCCUACCUAAGAAUCACAGAAUUAUAGAAUCAUUAAGAUUGGAAAAGGAAACUAAGAUCAUCUAGUCCAACAGUCAACCCAACACCACCGUGCCUUCUGAACCAUGUCCUCAGAGCCUUGGUUCCCCUGUCAAUGGUCUUGUCCUUCACUAAUCAGCUAUAAGAGAAACAAAGUCUCUGUUCAGCUGAUUCACAGGAAGGGAGCAGACACAAAGAUCUGUGAUCACCUAGGGCUAUGAUCAGAGGCUUUUAAAGCAAUCUUUGGGCCUCCAUCCAGUGUCCACCUAGUGUCAGUUUGCCAGACUGCCACAUUUUCUUUCUCAGAUUUUCAGCAGCUGGCAUCCACCACAAAGACUGCCGCCUAUCUACAAGAGAUUAGUACACUGUAAAUGAGAAAUGCUUCAAAAAGUCUUCCAUGCCUUUGUCCUCCUCUAUUAAAACUUAGUCUCACAGACCACAUUGAGAUCAUCUACUGUUAUUUUUCUGUUAGUCUUUGUCUGGCUCUUUAACCUUUGCUGUUAAAGCAUUGGUUUAUGCAAAUAGAGAGAUUUCUUCAUUGAUAAGAUUGUUAUCCAAAUUAUUAGUAAUCUUUGUUUUUUCCCUCUUUCCCUGUUUCAGCUGCACAUUUAAAAUACUGAAAUGCUCAUACAGUUCACAAAUUCUCUAUUGCUUCUUGGCCUGUGCAAUCCUUCAGCUGUCUCCUCAGUAACUCUUAUGUUGUCUUCUGUUUCAACACAUGCACAAGAAAAACUCACAAAGGAUUCCAUCCUGGGAGCUGAGUCAUUCUCUAAAUCAAGAACUGUCAUUCUCUGUACAUAAAAUAUUCCUCUGCAGAGCUUAAGGGAAUUUAUAUCUGCAUAGAAGAAAAUUGAGCCUCAUGCCAAUAGAUGAGAUAGACUUUAUGGCUUCUCCAUGAUCACACCACAUAUUGGUAAAAGCAUGGAACUGUGAAAUAUGAGAUGCAAAUGUCAAAAUAUUUCUUUGUUUUUGUAAGGAGUUGCACAAGGAGUCAUUCCUUUUCUGUACAACAAAGUAUGGGUAUUCAUAACUGUAAAAAAAGCCACGCUACCAAGAAUAGAAAAAAUAAAUGCCAUUUGUUGUUUGUUGUUUUGUUUUUCUAAUUUCCUUUCUGUAGAAUGUAGCAUCAAUAUUCUCAAAAAAAAAAAAAAAAAAAAACCUCUAAAAAAAACUAUCACAUUGUCUACUGUUUUUCUUAAAUCUAUAAAUGUUUUGCAGGUCUUAAGUCAGUUGUCUUGCUCCAGUUUUUGAUCUUUAGAAUAAACUUAUUAUUAGUAACUUAUUAUUAUAGAAUAACUUAUUUUGGCUUUUAGUAUUUGUCCUGUUGUUCACAUGAUUUCAUUUGUAUGUUGGGAACCAAUUUUUUGUAAACAUCAAGAGUUCUUUCAACACUGACACAAUUGCAAGGAAUUUGAGAAAGAAUAUGAAUUGAACACAAGUCUUGAAAAACUCAUGAUCUGAUCUACCGUUCUGGACCUUAUAUGACCAUCUACUGAAUUUCUGGCUUUCCACUGAUGACAACAAACACCUUUAUAAGUAAAAUUAACAUAGUGCUCGUACCUUAGAUUUUGAGAAUCGUUGCCGGACCUCACCUCCUCCCAGUCUCUUCAAUGCUCAUUCUUUUUGAGUGACAGGCCUCUGCCCAUGUGUUACCCACAGCAGAACUCCCAAGAAAAUGCUUCUUUAAACCUGGUGCAUUACAGGUGGCAUAAAGGAAUUUUUGUAAGCAGGAACAAAGGAAAAGGACCUGAUCCUUUAGCCACCCCAGGGAGACAGCUGAUGGUGUAUUUGCAGUUUGAGGCCUUAGAAGAGUUCUCAGUGAUGUCCUUAGAGCUUAGCUAACAGAUAAGAGUUUCCUAUAGUUCAUUUCCUAAGCUACUUCCUGCUGGUCUACAGUAUUACAUCUAUCCGUCUCAUCCUCCGGGCUUCUCUGUGUUGUUUUUUUCACCUGCCAUACCUAAAGGCACGCUACCGACCUCAUUUAAUCCUGAAGAGCAAGGAUGCUAAUUGAGUUGAAAAUGGUAAUGAUGCAUCUAAUUUUCUCAUGUCUGUGUGCUCCCCCUCCUUUCAGAACACCUGACAACACCUGCAUCCCAGAACAAGGGCUUCAACAUGUAUUUUCCUGUGUUGCGCCCAGCUACUCCCUUGACCUAUUAUCUGUGGCAAAUUACAGUGAAUCAAACAUGAUUCCCUCCACAUUUCUCUUCAUUCUGUUUCUGAAUAAGAGCUGAUGUAUGCUCAGGACAUUUUUGUAUUUGCUGCCACAGUUAAAGCAUAAUUAGCUACAUGAAAAAGAAGGGGGAUUAACCACCUCCACUUAGCUGAGACAUUGUCACCUUUAUACUUAAGGCUGCUAUUUGGUUUUUCAGGUAUUUCAAUUGCCAGUCAAGGAGCAGUUUAAGUCUGUAAUAUAAUAAUACUUGCAAUUACUAGUAAAUAACAUUUUACAGCGUUAACUAGCCUGUCCUUACAACAUCCUUUCCAGGCAGGCAAAUAAAUGUUAUUAUCCUCAUUUUACAAACACAUUGAUUAAGUGACUUGCCUAAAGGCCACACAUCAAUUUCAAUGUCAGCGCCAAGAUUAGCACAAAGGAACUUCUGCAUUGCAGUCCCAGGAAAAGGGAAAAAAAAUAUCUGUAAUAUUAAGUGCAUCCUCCCCUGAAACAAGCAAUCACUUUUCAGACGCUCAGUCUAAAUAGUGUUUACCUGCUUUGCAUCCCCUUAAGUCCUGUGCUCCGCCCACCUGUUAAGUGCUGCUUGUUAAUGACUCAAAAUGGUUCCCAGCCUGCCGCUAGUAGGGGAAGCUUUUCCUUCACUUGCUAGUUUCAUCCCAGUCGCUGGCAGGUGCUGUCUCAAGAACCUGCGAAGCUUCCAGGCUUACAGCUGAACCUGUGCUUAGACAAGUGAGGAAGGCUUGUGCUGCUCCUUGAAGGGCAGCCUCAGUAUGAUCACGGAUUUGAAGCAGCAGCAGUUGCAGCAGGAGCACGAUUAGGAAGAAAUUAGAAUGAUCUUCCACCAUUUAAUAGAUCGUUGGCCUCUCCAACCGAGCACAUUUUCAAUUUCUAGGCUGUGUACAGCCAGCACAGUUGUCUUUCCUAUUGCUGCUGUAGCUACUGUUUGGAAAUUGUGGUAGCUGGAAGGCAGUAUUGGAAAUUGAGCCUUCAGCUCUAAAACACAUUAACAUCUCUAGUCCUCAAUCUCUUGAGCUACUAAGUAAAUUGCCCUAUUUCAAAGCACCUGCUUUUAUAUUUGGAAGGAAUUUUGGUUUUGAUCGUUUGUUUCAGACUGAGGCAUUAUGUCUCUGUUCCUUUCCUGACUGAUGAGCAAUGCAGACCUUACUGCAUACGUGUAUUUUAUGACGUGUGGAAGUAUAGCAAGUAACACUGUAGUACACAAAAAUCUAUUAAACACUGUAGAAUUUCCAACGUUAAAACCCUGCUAUGUUUGCAGGCAGUUAUUGCUUAGGGAAGGGAAAAAAAAAAACAAAACAAAAAAACCAGCAGCAAUUGCUUGCUCCCCACCCCCCACCAUAACAUAUGUUUCCUACCUGUAAAGACAAAACAGAGAAAGUCACUCCAGCACUUUCAGCAGCUAAUCAAGGCCAUUCAUGUGUUAAGGGUGGCAAUGUUUUCUCCUGACUUAGGCACUGUUUACAAGAUCUUCAUGACUCAACUUCUAAAUGUGACAGAAAAUCAAAAUAAUUGUGAAUCUUUUGAACUUCGGUAGCAUUGUUUGUCAGUGGAUUCACAGAUCUGUCAUUAAAGCCUACGGCAUCAUUUGCAAAUCCCUUAAUUUGACCUAGUCAUUGAAACUGAUACUGUGCCAAUGUCUGAAAGCAGAUACAUUGAAAAAUUGUCCAGCAUUUAUGAUAGAUACUGGUAUUUCAGACCAGAGUCCCAGGCAAUUAAUUAUAUUUUUAAUAAGCAUACAUAACAAAGUUAAAUUUAGAAGUAGACUUUGAAAUGGUUGCCAAGUUUUUAACUGAAGGUCAUUUGUACUUUUUUAUUUUUAUCCCAGGUGGAGAGAGUAUGCAUGUCUAGAUACUCAAACGAAAUGUGUAGACUUAAGUACAAAAUACCUCAAAUAUUAGCCACAUUAAUUACACGUUUUUUUCUUUCCCUUUGAGAGAUCAUUUCUUGCAUUAAAAGAACAAUGCUCAAUUGAUUGCUUGCAAACCAUCUAUAGAUUGCAGUAUCAGACACAUUCAUCAGGUUUACGCCUGUCAAAUUUUUAUGUUUGUUUUCAAAUUUUUAACAGCAAAAAAUAAAACAUAUUUAUAAAUAAAUGCUUAACUGUGUUUGUGUUUUUGGCAGUGUAUUGGCUUGGCUUCUAUGCAUCUCUGUCA
ensembl:lncRNA